UUCCGGUCAGUUGCCUGGUAGUGCAUAU
rnacentral:sRNA from 1 species